AAAAAAAGAAAGAAAGGAGGCAUCAGAUGCAGCGUCAGUGCACCCCCCUCCCCCCGUCAGCAGACCCACCUUUGACCCCUGGAGUGCCUGAGGGGUCCUGUGGCCCUGGUGGUUGAGGGGGGGCGAUGCUGUCUGUCCUCCGCUGAGCCAACCAGGCAGCUGCUCACCUGGGCAGGUGGACUCUGCACCUUGACAGGUUGCGGCCAUCAGGCAGAGGAGGAAGAGAGCCGCUCGCUUGCCAGCUCUGCCCAUGGUGCCAGUUGGGCUCCGACUGUCGCCUGCCCUGGACCCUCUCUGGCUUUUAUCUGCUGCUUUUGCCCUUCCCAGAUGGGUAUCCCAAGGUCAACGGUUACAACAUCGCAACCUGCUUCCUUGUUGAUCACGACACACAGACUUCCCAUGCUGCAGGUUCAAUUAUCUUAACCGUCCCCAUUUCUGGAGGGAGCCCAUCUCAUCUGCUCCGAAGCAAAGCCACAAGGGAAACUUUAGGCUACUCCCAACCGUGAGAUUCCAGGUGGUCCCCUUUCCCUGCUGGUAGUUUGGUCAGGUGCUGUGAAUCCCAUGAAGGAAAAGCUCCGGUUUCAAUCCAGAUUUGGAGAUGUUUUUGCUAUGCCAACCUUCUGGGAAAUAGCCAGGAGGUGCCUCCCUCCUCAGCCUUUGGGCCCCUAGAGACCUUCUCCUUUGUGUACAGAUGUUGUCUUUCAGAAGUCCGGACCGUCCGCAUCUUUGUUCAGGAGGAGCACAAGGCCUGACAUGGUGUUGUGAAUUGCACUAAAAGUCUCACAACGUGUAAAGAUGCAGCCUGGAUGAGAGCAAACAUCCCUAAAAGCCGUUUGGGAAGGUGGAAAGAAUCAUGGAACGCUGGCUGUUUUCCCCAUUGCUCUCCUCCUCAACCAUCAGGGUUCCAGGAAGGCGAGGUCUGGCUCUGACAUGCGGGUGCCCCCCCCCCCGUGCCCCACAGCCCAGAAACUCCAGGCAGGCACCCGGGUGGUGAAGCAUCGCGUGCCCUCCAAGCAACUUUCCAGGAGCUGCUCCCUUUUUUGGCUUCAUUCUCCUCAAAAGACAAGCUCCCCAUCUUCCUUAAGGCAGCAGGAGAGCAACGGAUGGUGGCAUCUUGAAGGGCACCGAAUCCAGUCAGGCCCCUGCUUUCAGCACAACCCGGAGUGUAAAAUGCGGCUCUGAUUGGGAAAGUGACGUUUGACCUUCAGAUCUGCAGGAUCUUGUGCAAUUAAAGUUAUUUAACUCAUUAA